AACGAACGCUGGCGGCGCGCCUAAUACAUGCAAGUCGAGCGAGAAGACGUAGCAAUACGUUUGUAAAGCGGCGAACGGGUGAGGAAUACAUGGGUAACCUACCCUCGAGUGGGGAAUAACUAGCCGAAAGGUUAGCUAAUACCGCGUACGCUCCUUGGACUUCGGUUCAGGGAGGAAAGCGAUACCGUGGGUAUCGCGCUCUUGGAUGGGCUCAUGUCCUAUCAGCUUGUUGGUGAGGAACGGCUCACCAAGGCUUCGACGGGUAGCUGGUCUGAGAGGACGAUCAGCCACACUGGCACUGC
rnacentral:rRNA from 1 species